UACGAGGGGGGCAAGCGUUAUUCGGAAUCAUUGGGCGUAAAGCGCACGUAGGCGGUUCGUUAUGUCGGAUGUGAAAGCCCUUGGCUUAACCGAGGAAGUGCAUCCGAAACUGGCGAGCUAGAGUACUAAAGAGGAUCGCGGAAUUCCCGGUGUAGAGGUGAAAUUCGUAGAUAUCGGGAGGAACACCGGUGGCGAAGGCGGCGAUCUGGGUAGAUACUGACGCUGAGGUGCGAAAGCGUGGGGAGCAAACAGG
rnacentral:rRNA from 1 species